rnacentral:rRNA from 1 species
UACGUAGGCAGCGAGCGUUGUUCGGAGUUACUGGGCGUAAAGGGUGUGUAGGCGGUUAUUUAAGUUUGGUGUGAAAUCUCCCGGCUCAACCGGGAGGGUGCGCCGAAUACUGAAUGACUUGGAGUGCGGGAGAGGUGAGUGGAAUUCCUGGUGUAGCGGUGAAAUGCGUAGAUAUCAGGAGGAACACCGGUGGCGAAGGCGGGUCUCUGGGCCGAAAUUGACGCUGAGGAGCGAAAGCGUGGGGAGCAAACAGG